AGUGAACGCUGGCGGUAGGCCUAACACAUGCAAGUCGAACGGCAGCACAGUAAGAGCUUGCUCUUACGGGUGGCGAGUGGCGGACGGGUGAGGAAUACAUCGGAAUCUACUUUUUUGUGGGGGAUAACGUAGGGAAACUUACGCUAAUACCGCAUACGACCUACGGGUGAAACCAGGGGAUCUUCGGACCUUGCGCGAUUGAAUGAGCCGAUGUCGGAUUAGCUAGUUGGCGGGGUAAAGGCCCACCAAGGCGACGAUCCGUAGCUGGUCUGAGAGGAUGACCAGCCACACUGGAACUGGGACACGGUCCUGACUCCUACGGGAGGCAGCAGUGGGGAAUAUUGGACAAUGGGCGCAAGCCUGAUCCAGCCAUACCGCGUGGGUGAAGAAGGCCUUCGGGUUUUAAAGCCCUUUUGUUGGGAAAGAAAAGCGGCAGGUUAAUACCCCGCUGUUCUGACGGUACCCAAAGAAUAAGCACCGGCUAACUUCGUG
rnacentral:rRNA from 1 species